rnacentral:rRNA from 1 species
UCGAUUGGAUUAGGCAUGCAAGUCGAGCGCGAAUUUACUUAAUGAACCUUCGGGUGAUUUAAGUAAAGGAAAGCGGCGGACGGGUGAGUAACGCGUGGGAAACCUGCCCUAUACAGGGGAAUAGCCUCGGGAAACCGGGAUUAAUGCCCCAUAAAACUCUAGUAUCGCAUGAUACAUGAGUCAAAACUCCGGUGGUAUAGGAUGGUCCCGCGUCCCAUUAGCUAGUUGGUGAGGUAACAGCUCACCAAGGCGACGAUGGGUAGCCGGCCUGAGAGGGUGAUCGGCCACACUGGAACUGAGACACGGUCCAGACUCCUACGGGAGGCAGCAGUGGGGAAUAUUGCACAAUGGGGGAAACCCUGAUGCAGCGAUGCCGCGUGAGCGAUGAAGACCUUCAAAUCGUAAAGCUCUGUCCUUAGGGAAGAAUACUGACGGUACCUAAGGAGGAAGCACCGGCUAACUACGUGCCAGCAGCCGCGGUAAUACGUAGGGUGCAAGCGUUGUCCGGAAUCACUGGGCGUAAAGAGUUCGUAGGCGGCUUUGUAAGUCAGGUGUGAAAGGCAUUGGCUCAACCAAUGUAAGCACUUGAAACUAUAAGGCUUGAGUACUGGAGAGGAGAGUGGAAUUCCUAGUGUAGCGGUGAAAUGCGUAGAUAUUAGGAGGAACACCAGUGGCGAAGGCGACUCUCUGGACAGUUACUGACGCUGAGGAACGAAAGCGUGGGGAGCGAACAGGAUUAGAUACCCUGGUAGUCCACGCCGUAAA